rnacentral:rRNA from 1 species
GACGAACGCUGUCGGCGUGCUUAACACAUGCAAGUCGAACGGAAAGGCCCUGCUUUUGUGGGGUGCUCGAGUGGCGAACGGGUGAGUAACACGUGAGUAACCUGCCCUUGACUUUGGGAUAACUUCAGGAAACUGGGGCUAAUACCGGAUAGGAGCUCCUGCUGCAUGGUGGGGGUUGGAAAGUUUCGGCGGUUGGGGAUGGACUCGCGGCUUAUCAGCUUGUUGGUGGGGUAGUGGCUUACCAAGGCUUUGACGGGUAGCCGGCCUGAGAGGGUGACCGGCCACAUUGGGACUGAGAUACGGCCCAGACUCCUACGGGAGGCAGCAGUGGGGAAUAUUGCACAAUGGGCGGAAGCCUGAUGCAGCAACGCCGCGUGCGGGAUGACGGCCUUCGGGUUGUAAACCGCUUUCGCCUGUGACGAAGCGUGAGUGACGGUAAUGGGUAAAGAAGCACCGGCUAACUACGUGCCAGCAGCCGCGGUGAUACGUAGGGUGCGAGCGUUGUCCGGAUUUAUUGGGCGUAAAGGGCUCGUAGGUGGUUGAUCGCGUCGGAAGUGUAAUCUUGGGGCUUAACCCUGAGCGUGCUUUCGAUACGGGUUGACUUGAGGAAGGUAGGGGAGAAUGGAAUUCCUGGUGGAGCGGUGGAAUGCGCAGAUAUCAGGAGGAACACCAGUGGCGAAGGCGGUUCUCUGGGCCUUUCCUGACGCUGAGGAGCGAAAGCGUGGGGAGCGAACAGGCUUAGAUACCCUGGUAGUCCACGCUGUAAACGGUGGGUACUAGGUGUGGGGUCCAUUCCACGGGUUCCGUGCCGUAGCUAACGCUUUAAGUACCCCGCCUGGGGAGUACGGCCGCAAGGCUAAAACUCAAAGGAAUUGACGGGGCCCCGCACAAGCGGCGGAGCAUGCGGAUUAAUUCGAUGCAACGCGUAGAACCUUACCUGGGUUUGACAUGGAUCGGGAGUGCUCAGAGAUGGGUGUGCCUCUUUUGGGGUCGGUUCACAGGUAGUGCAUGCCUGUCGUCAGCUCGUGUCGUGAGAUGUUGGGUUAAGUCCCGCAACGAGCGCAACCCUUGUUCACUGUUGCCAGCACGUUAUGGUGGGGACUCAGUGGAGACCGCCGGGGUCAACUCGGAGGAAGGUGGGGAUGACGUCAAGUCAUCAUGCCCCUUAUGUCCAGGGCUUCACGCAUGCUACAAUGGCUGGUACAGAGAGUGGCGAGCCUGUGAGGGUGAGCGAAUCUCGGAAAGCCGGUCUCAGUUCGGAUUGGGGUCUGCAACUCGACCUCAUGAAGUCGGAGUCGCUAGUAAUCGCAGAUCAGCAACGCUGCGGUGAAUACGUUCCCGGG